rnacentral:rRNA from 1 species
UGCCAGCCGCCGCGGUAACACAUAGGGGUCAAGCGUUGUCCGGAUUUAUUGGGCGUAAAGAGCUCGUAGGCGGUUCAACAAGUCGGUCGUAAAAGUUUAGGGCUCAACCCUAAAAUGUCGAUCGAUACUGUACGUCUUGAAUUCGGUCGAAGUGGGCGGAAUGUGUAGUGUAGCGGUGAAAUGCAUAGAUAUUACACAGAACACCGAUAGCGAAGGCAGCUCACUAGGCCUGGAUUGACGCUCAGGGACGAAAGCGUGGGGAUCAAACAGGAUUAGAUA